rnacentral:lncRNA from 1 species
GCACAGAUAUGAAAAUCAAAUUUCUACUAGCUACAGAUACAUAACAGUAGUCUUUAAAAAUUAAACUAACUCCUAACGAUAAUUGCAGAGGGUAGGUCCCGAUGGCUACAGUAGCAAUCUUUGCUCCAUUGUCGAUUCAAAGAGUGAUCUCACCUUUCCUUAGCUCUCGCACUUCUUCAUGAUCCUGCAUAAAAGUGCACAAAUGAAAACUUGAACCAGAAUCUAGAACCUUCAGAAGGCGCAACCUUCUUCCUACUCUUGAUAGUCGCCAGG